GCCUCGGUAGUGUAGUAGAUCAGCACGGCGGAGAGGGAUAUCUGUCGGUAAGUGUGGGUUCGAGUCCCGCCUGAGGUU
rnacentral:tRNA from 1 species